rnacentral:lncRNA from 1 species
CUUACAUGAAGAAAAGAGGUUUGUUUAGUAGCCAAGAAUGACUUGCCUGCAUUUCUCCCUAAUAUAUAUGAUUAGCCACAAAAAUUAGUCAGGAAAAAAAAUAAAAAAUAAAAAUUGAGCAAGUGUAUAUUUAUGUGGGUUCUCCGGGCAGUCAUCUUGGCUAACUUCACAGGCUCUUCUCCAUCAUGCUAGUCCUCUUCUUCCCACCAUUAAUUUUGAAUUCAAACAUGUACUGAUGCACGUUAAAAUUUCUAGAGUUAAUAAAGGGAUGAAUUAUGGUGUAGUAACCAAAAGGUUUGGGAAGACCUUUAUUCAUGGAUUCCUUUUUCUUUGCUUAUGUCUUUUCCUAUUAUUUUGAAGAUUGAAGUAUAGUUAAGAUUAGGCUGGUGCACAUUGAUCAUUUUCUCAUUUUAGUUCUAACAAAACAAAAAGGAAGCCGGCAGACCUCUCGCUGUCGACAGAAUGAAGAAUAACGUAAGUAGGAAUUUUAUGUUAAAAUGUAAAAUCUCAGCACUUCUUCAUUUCUGAAAUAUUCUUCUUUGCUUGAGUUUCCUAGAAUUUUGGAUACGGGAUCCUCUACUACAAGUCCGUGUAGACCAUCAAACGAGAUGUGAACGGUGUUGAUUCAUUAUUGACUCUCAGAGUUUCAAGAAUAUAGUAACUUCUUUUUUUUUUUUUUUUUUUUUUUUUUGGAAAGCUGGUUUCGGAAGGUUAGCUCAAUGGCGUUGGAUGAGUUUGCUGACGUUUUUGCUGCAAAAUUUUCAAGUAGUGUACUGCCUUGAAAAGAUGCAGGGGGAGCAUAUGAUGCAAGAUUCCAGGAAAAAUCGUUUCCAUUCCAAAGAGUGUGGUGUAGACAAAGACAGUGAGCGUGAAUGCUUAAUUUAAUUUUAAUACUUUAUUUGUUUAAUGAUGAUUUUUUUUAAUUAUUUCCUGUUUUAUAUAUUAUUAGAAGAUUAGGGACGUAUAGUCAAUCUGAAUUAGACUUGUGUAAUUGUGCUAUAAGUGACUGCCGCAAAACUAUGUUUGAUUGGUUAAAUUUAUAUUGAUAAAAUUAUGCUUUUCUUUCAAUUUUCGAUUUAAAAGCUCAUUAUUCUUAUGGAAUCAACGACUCUUCAAUGCCUAGUUUUCUGAUCUAGUUAAAAAUCAACUGAAAUUAGAUUGUGAUAUUUUUGAAAUUAAUGAGACUUCAAUCACAUGUUUGUUCUAUAUUUCACGCUUCUCACUACAUCAAUGUCAAUGCGCAAUGAUGGCAUUUAAAAAUGUAUUUUUAAUGUAUGUGUAAAUACUAAAAAAGAUUGUGUGACAACACAAAAUUUUAGGUUUGCUAAUUAUAAUAAUUUUAUGUGUUCAACAAUUCGUCCUACUAAACAUGUUAUAUUUAUUUCUAUCCAACCGUAAAUUUUUUAUAUUUGAGGAUUUUGUUUCAAAAUGAAGCUAUGGAAGCAUAAAGUGUAAAUCCAACUAGUAUUAAUAAAGAAUAAUAUUUAACUUUUGGUAAUUGCCUUAUUUGUAUUGACUUUAGGUCUAGUAGGCUGCAAUAAUAUUCAGCUUAGGUUACAAAACUUAUCAUUCAUGUAUUCUUAGCUCGAAGAGAAACAUAACUACAAAAUACAUUUGGGUUUAUGUAUUGAAUUUUACUAAACCGUUAUAAACGAUUUAAUUUGGAAGUAGGACAAAAACCGCACAAAUAAUAUCUUUACACCCCUUAUUUGAUGUACUUGUUCCAUAUUGUUGUAGAAUCUUCUUUUCAGAAUCUCACACCCCUUCAUUUCUCAUACCUGUUAGACUUUAGAAAGAAUUGAGACCAAUAAAGUUUUCUCGUAUGUUGACAUUCCAUUUUCAUUUCCAUGUGUCAGAUUAAAGAAAAUGAAGUAGACACAAAUCAGGUUCCUUCACAUACUUUAGAAGAAUAUAUUCCAGCCAAUUUUUCUGCUUGUACAGAAGCAGAAGUGCCAAAAUUCCACUAGAUGCUAAUGUGGCAGCAUCUGAUUGAUUUUUUUUAUUUAUUUAUUUAUUUUUUUUUUAGCCAUUCUUUAACUGGAUGCUACCAUUUGUAUUCUGUGAAAAUUCUAGCAGAGAAUUUCUGUACACAUAGCACUUCUAUGUUCCAGCACGGGUUGCUAUACCGCAUAAGAUA